CCUUCUCCAGUCUCUACCUUCCUCCUGAGUUCUAAGCAGUGACCUAUUUGAAGCGCCUUGAAGAGAGGAAUCACCUUCCCCGUUCAGAAUGACCCACUCCCAGGGUCCCUGACAGGAUGCAAGAACCAGCAGGGGCAAGUCAAAACCUCCCUGAGCCUUCCUCCGAUCCAGAGGCCUUCUGCCCGAGAGAGCCAGCAGGGCGGCAAGGACGAAAGGCACGCCCGCCCCAUCCUGGGAACCAGAGAUGCGCCAGUUCUACUAGGUUACCAUUUCCACUUUUCUGUCAAGCCAAGGCAGAGAUUCCCUAGAGAAGACAGAAUGUUUGCUCUCAGCCAAAAGCCCACAAUGGAUCAGAAUUCUUUAACUGAGAUUACAAAGGAAAAAAGUUUAACUGCCUAGCUCAGCCUAGUCUGCACGUGACCGCCAGCCCCACGCACUGAACACGACGCCCGUUGCUCUUAAUGAGAAAUGCUCUUCAUGAAAAAUGAAUAAUGAACUUUGUUAAAUAUUUCCUCCCAGGAUGGGAGUCCUCA